rnacentral:rRNA from 1 species
AAUGAACGCUGGCGGCAGGCCUAACACAUGCAAGUCGAACGAGUGGCGGACGGGUUAGUAAUGUCUGGGAAACUGCCUGAUGGAGGGGGAUCACUACGGGAAACGGUAGCUAAUACCGCAUACCCUCGGAUGUGCCCAGAUGGGAGUAGCUAGUCUGUGGGGGAAAGGCUCACCUAGGCGACGCUCCCUAGCUGGUCUGAGAGGAUGACCAGUCACACUGUAAGUGAGACACGGUCCAGACUCCGACGGGAGGCAGCAGUGGGGAAUAUUGCACAAUGGGCGCAAGCCUGAUGCAGCCAUGCCGCGUGUAUGAAGAAGGCCUUCGGGUUGUAAAGUACUUUCAGCGGGGAGGCGUUACCCGCAGAAGAAGCACCGGCUAACUCCGUGCCAGCAGCCGCGGUAAUAC